UGAACUCCACUAACUGCUUCACUACAUGAACUGAAAAAUGGCAAGAGUGAAAUGGAUGGUUCAAAGAAGAAAAAAAGAAUGUGAAUAUUUCACCAGAGAUACUUGAUUUGUAUGAGUUGUUAUAGUCCGAGUACGACUUCUAAGUGAUACCUAACAAGGCAGCCUUUUACACUGAUAACUGGUGACUUUAAAGAAAGGUCAAGACUACACAGUGUAUUCUUUUCAUUCCUUCAGGUCUUCCUGCUCUCAUCCUUGAAUAUCUCCCUUCCAAGAUAUCUGCAGUCUGCUGCUACACUUCUGGACUGUCAACGUCAAAUUUUCUGAUUUAUUAUCAUCAAACUUCUCA